AUUGAACGCUGGCGGCAGGCCUAACACAUGCAAGUCGAACGAGUGGCGGACGGGUGAGUAAUGUCUGGGAAACUGCCUGAUGGAGGGGGAUAACUACUGGAAACGGUAGCUAAUACCGCAUACCAUCGGAUGUGCCCAGAUGGGAUUAGCUAGUAGGUGGGGUAAAGGCUCACCUAGGCGACGAUCCCUAGCUGGUCUGAGAGGAUGACCAGCCACACUGGAACUGAGACACGGUCCAGACUCCUACGGGAGGCAGCAGUGGGGAAUCUUCCGCAAUGGGGGGAACCCUGACCGAGCAACGCCGCGUGAGUGAAGAAGGCCUUCGGGUUGUAAAGUACUUUCAGCGGGGAGGCGUUACCCGCAGAAGAAGCACCGGCUAACUCCGUGCCAGCAGCCGCGGUAAUAC
rnacentral:rRNA from 1 species